rnacentral:rRNA from 1 species
UUGGAAACAGAUGCUAAUACCGCAUAGAUCCAAGAACCGCAUGGUUCUUGGCUGAAAGAUGGCGUAAGCUAUCGCUUUUGGAUGGACCCGCGGCGUAUUAGCUAGUUGGUGAGGUAAUGGCUCACCAAGGCGAUGAUACGUAGCCGAACUGAGAGGUUGAUCGGCCACAUUGGGACUGAGACACGGCCCAAACUCCUACGGGAGGCAGCAGUAGGGAAUCUUCCACAAUGGACGCAAGUCUGAUGGAGCAACGCCGCGUGAGUGAAGAAGGCUUUCGGGUCGUAAAACUCUGUUGUUGGAGAAGAAUGGUCGGCAGAGUAACUGUUGUCGGCGUGACGGUAUCCAACCAGAAAGCCACGGCUAACUACGUGCCAGCAGCCGCGGUAAUACGUAGGUGGCAAGCGUUAUCCGGAUUUAUUGGGCGUAAAGCGAGCGCAGGCGGUUUUUUAAGUCUGAUGUGAAAGCCCUCGGCUUAACCGAGGAAGCGCAUCGGAAACUGGGAAACUUGAGUGCAGAAGAGGACAGUGGAACUCCAUGUGUAGCGGUGAAAUGCGUAGAUAUAUGGAAGAACACCAGUGGCGAAGGCGGCUGUCUGGUCUGUAACUGACGCUGAGGCUCGAAAGCAUGGGUAGCGAACAGGAUUAGAUACCCUGGUAGUCCAUGCCGUAAACGAUGAAUGCUAGGUGUUGGAGGGUUUCCGCCCUUCAGUGCCGCAGCUAACGCAUUAAGCAUUCCGCCUGGGGAGUACGACCGCAAGGUUGAAACUCAAAGGAAUUGACGGGGGCCCGCACAAGCGGUGGAGCAUGUGGUUUAAUUCGAA